rnacentral:rRNA from 1 species
AUUUGUAGAGGAUGCUUUUGGUGCGGUGCCUUCCGAGUUCCCUGGAACGGGACGCCUUAGAGGGUGAGAGCCCCGUACGGUUGGACGCCUAGCCUCUGUAAAGCUCCUUCAACGAGUCGAGUAGUUUGGGAAUGCUGCUCAAAAUGGGAGGUAAAUUUCUUCUAAAGCUAAAUACCGGCCAGAGACCGAUAGCGCACAAGUAGAGUGAUCGAAAGAUGAAAAGCACUUUGAAAAGAGGGUUAAAUAGCACGUGAAAUUGUUGAAAGGGAAGCGUUUAUGACCAGACUUUUUCCUAGUGGAUCAUCCGGUGUUCUCACCGGUGCACUUCGCUAGGUUUAGGCCAGCAUCGGUUUCCGUAGGGGGAUAAAAGCUUUAGGAAUGUGGCUCUUCGGAGUGUUAUAGCCUAUUGUAUAAUACCCUUAUGGGGACCGAGGUACGCGCUCUGCAAGGAUGCUGGCGUAAUGGUCAUCAACGACCCGUCUUGAA